rnacentral:rRNA from 1 species
AGUGAACGCUGGCGGUAGGCCUAACACAUGCAAGUCGAACGGCAGCACAGUAAGAGCUUGCUCUUACGGGUGGCGAGUGGCGGACGGGUGAGGCAUACAUCGCAAUCUACUUUUUCGUGGGGGAUAACGUAGGGAAACUUACGCUACUACCUCAUACGACCUACGGGUGAAAGCAUGGGAUCUUCGGACCUUUUGCGAUUGGAUUAGCCGAUCUCGGAUUAGCUAGUUGGCGGGGGAAAGGCCCACCAAGGCGACGAUCCGUAGCGGGCAUGAGGGGGUGAUCAGCCAGACGGGAACUGAGACAGGGUCCAGACUCCUACGGGAGGCAGCAGUGGGGAAUAUUGGACGAUGGGCGCAAGGCUGAUCCAGCCAUACCGGGGGGGUGAAGAAGGCGUGAGGGUUGUAAAGCCCUGAUGUUGGGAAAAAAAAGAAGCAGGGUAAUAAGGGGCGAUAAUGACGGUACCCAAAGAGUAAGCACCGGCUAACUACGUG